UGAGGAAUAUUGGGCAAUGCCCGCAAGGGUGACCCAGCAACGCCGCGGGGAGGAUGAAUGUCGUAAGAUUGUAAACUCCUGUUAGAGGGGAAGAAUAGUACCGGUUGGACCGGUAUAUGACUGUACCCUCAGAGAAAGCCCCGGCUAACUACGUGCCAGCAGCCGCGGUAAUACGUAGGGGGCAAGCGUUGUCCGGAUUUACUGGUGUAAAGGGCGCGCAGGCGGGAUAAAAAGUCAGUGGUGAAAUCCUACAGCUUAACUGUAGAACUGCCUUUGAUACUUUUAUUCUUGAGUUCGGGAGAGAGAGACGGAAUUCCAGGUGUAGUGGUGAAAUACGUAGAUAUCUGGAAGAACACCAGUUGCGAAGGCGGUCUCUUGGUCCGACACUGACGCUGAGGCGCGAAAGCGUGGGGAGCAAACA
rnacentral:rRNA from 1 species